AAUACAAGCAGGUAGACUCGGAGACCUGGGGGCACCUGGAUGUCCUGGGGCUGCAUGGAUAUCCAGGAAGUGCACAAAUGUAGGGGCUGAGGGAAGAGACCAGAAGGUGGCUUUCAGGUUUUUUAUUUUGCCACCCCACAUGUGAUGCUGCCUCUUUCCAAAAGGUAUAACUCAGGAGUGGUGGUGGGGUUGGAGAUGGAAGAUGGUGCCUUCUAGCUUGGACACGUCCAGUUCCAGCUGGGACAUGUGCAUGGGUCCCUGUCGAACAAUGAGUGGAGAUGCCCACUAAGGCCUGCUGAGCCCAUCCUGUAGUGAUGAUGAAUGACUGAUGGACAUAGACUCAGUGGCCCUGCUCCGGGACAUUUGAGUCUGGGGAAAGGAAGGCGUGUGGACUCCCCUCUCAUGGACUCCUCACUUCAAUCAAGAUGCCUUGAAGAAAGGUAAUUCGCCCAGAGUUGCAGUUCUUAAUUAAGAACUUAGGAUGUGGGGGAGCCUGGCUGGAUCAGCCUGAGUUCCUUGAUCUUGAUCUUGAGCUCAUGAGACCCCUGAGAUCUUGAUCUCAGGGCCAUGAGUUCAAGCCCCGCGUUGGGUGUAGAGAUUAGCAAAA